rnacentral:rRNA from 1 species
AUUGAACGCUGGCGGCAGGCUUAACACAUGCAAGUCGAGCGGGGUGAUGGUGCUUGCACUAUCACUUAGCGGCGGACGGGUGAGUAAUGCUUAGGAAUCUGCCUAUUAGUGGGGGACAACAUCUCGAAAGGGAUGCUAAUAACGCAUACGUCCUACGGGAGAAAGCAGGGGAUCACUUGUGACCUUGGGCUAAUAGAUGAGCCUAAGUCGGAUUAGCUGGUUGGUGGGGGAAAGGCCUACCAAGGCGACGAUCUGUAGCGGGUCUGAGAGGAUGAUCCGCCACACUGGGACUGGGACACGGCCCAGACUCCUACGGGAGGCAGCAGUGGGGAAUAUUGGACAAUGGGGGGAACCCUGAUCCAGCCAUGCCGCGUGUGUGAAGAAGGCCUUAUGGUUGUAAAGCACUUUAAGCGAGGAGGAGGCUCUUUUGGUUAAUACCCAAGAUGAGUGGACGUUACUCGCAGAAUAAGCACCGGCUAACUCUGUGCCAGCAGCCGCCGUAA